rnacentral:snRNA from 1 species
GGACGUGAAGGUGAUCUGGCUGUGACACCUGACACCCCAUUGAUCACUAGGGUGGAUUCCACUGAUCUGGCUGGCUAGGCAGGUGUUCCUUUCCUCCCUUACUGCUGCAUGUUUUUCCCUCCCAAAGCUGCCCACUGGCUGGAAGAGGACAAAGAAACAAUAAAGCUACUUAAUACAUCCUUCACUUCACCUAACUACCAUUUUAUUGUUAUUGUUGUCAUCAUUGCUGUUGUAAUGGUGAGAACCUUAAAGUUCUACUUCAAAGCAACAUUCAAAUACACAAUACAGUUUCAUUAGCAACAGUUACCAUGUUGUACAUU